GGAGCCUGUGCAUUCACUCAAACUGAACACCUAUUAUGCAACAGGCCCUGGUGGCAUGAAAUGCCUGGCUUUCAUUAAGUAUCGUGCCCUAGCACAAGGUGUCAGUCACUCAGUCCAUACCUGCUAAGAAGCGGUAAGAGCCAAGCAGGGACAUCAUGAGGAGAAAGAAGACAGAAAGUAGAGGGCAGGCAGGAUUGAAUUUUAGGCUGAGCGGCCACAGAAAGGAGAGAGUUGUCGUCUGAAGGGAAGAGUUCUACACUAUGGAAGAAGUCCAAAGGUCCUGAGGUUCCACCGAGCAAAGGCAGAAACUGGACAGACUUCGGUGUAGGUACGAAAAGCAGCUCCUUACAAGAGGGUGCUAUUGGAUCUGCUAUUCUAGGCCAGCUGGUGAGCACAGGAAAAGGACCUUCUACCUUCUUCGAAAACAAGAUUCCAUCAGCAGGGGCCUGGCUGUAUUAUGGUCCAUCCCUCUAACGAAACUGGGAGACUAGGAAGAGCAAUGCUAUGGGAAUGCAUCGCCAUGGAAACACGACAGCCCAUCGAGUCACAGCUCCGCACAAAGCUGCAAAGCCAACUGAGACAGCAAUGAGUUCCCGCUCCCUCCAGCUCCAUCCCCACGGUAGCCCCUACAAAGGGCCAUGGGUGGCAGGGGCAGCACUGGGGUGGAGCACUACAAGCACCUGAGUACCUGGGUAGUCGGGAAGAAGGAUGGACCAUCCCUGCCCUCGCAGCUCUGAAAAGAGGCAGUACUGUGUACACACUGAGAGCAGAGGGAAGGGCAGUGGAGGGGAGAGUCUUAAGGACGCCUCUGCCUGGGGAUGGGUGGGGCAGAGCACGAACACCCUGGCUGCCCACUCACAAGGGACCGGUUAAAUAAACUACAGUGUAGCU